rnacentral:rRNA from 1 species
UCCUCCAAGGCUAAAUACUCCUGACUGACCGAUAGUGAACCAGUACCGUGAGGGAAAGGCGAAAAGAACCCCGGCGAGGGGAGUGAAAAAGAACCUGAAACCGUGUACGUACAAGCAGUGGGAGCACCCUUUGGGGUGUGACUGCGUACCUUUUGUAUAAUGGGUCAGCGACUUAUAUUCUGUAGCAAGGUUAACCGUAUAGGGGAGCCGGAGGGAAACCGAGUCUUAAUUGGGCGUUAAGUUGCAGGGUAUAGACCCGAAACC